ACAAAGUGCACAGUCCUUUCAGCACUGAAAAAGCCCACAGGAGCCACAGACUUUGGAAAGCAGAGGAGAGACUGCUUAAGUUUGAUAUCUGUAUCAGUUAUGAGUAAGCCAAUGGUGCCCUGACAAGAAGGCCUGAAGAAACUGAGGUGUGGCAGCAAUUCGAUGCAGCAAGAAAGGGAGCAGAAGCCUACACAGCAGGUUUCCUCUGGGAAGGACUGGAGAACAAGUGAGGGAUAACCCAGGUGUUUGUGGCAUUUGGUCAAACCCCUUCAGUAAAGGACAGCACUCCUUGUCACUCUCUGGUCAUCAUCUGACUAGCAAUGGAAUGCAAUACUUCAUUCAUGUUGCAUAAAAGCUUAAGAGUACUUCAACCGUCCAGAUUCUCCCAUGCUCCAGCUGCCCAAAUGACUGCAGUCUGAAGAGUGAUGCUGGUGGAACAGUCCCCUUCUCUCUUCUCCCCAGUGGCAGAGCCACCAGGACAGGACGCCACUCCCACACAGCAUGGAGAAACCAGGACUGUGAUUCACGAGUGGAACCACUUCCUUGGAACAGUCGUAAUGGCUCCCAUUUCCUGCUCUCGACCCUAUCCAAUUAAGGUUCCCAUCCUCACCACAAGAAGCAAAGAGCUUGCACAACAACGGCUCAUCUGCUGUAGUUUACAGCCCAGAACUUCAAGGUAUUUCUGGUUAGUACCAUUAAAAGAUGGGCUAUGAACUGCAACAAAGACAACUGAAGGUGGGAAAAAAGAAAGCUGCACCUUCUUCUGAGCAGAGCCCUAGAAAAUGCCUUUUUGGCAAACUCCAUUAGUACUACCACAGGUUGCUUUUAAGGCCUGUGAAAAGAAACCAGAUCCUCAGUGUCUUCCGUAGCCAACACUGCCUUACAUGCAAAGUAGCAUACCUAUUUGAGCAGCUGUGUUUAAAGGAUACUACAUUAAAACACCAACAAGUAAA